rnacentral:rRNA from 1 species
UGGGGAAUCUUGCGCAAUGGGCGAAAGCCUGACGCAGCAACGCCGCGUGCGGGAAGAAGGCUUUCGGGCUGUAAACCGCUUUCAGUAGGAACGAAACUGACGGUACCUACAGAAGAAGGAGCGGCCAACUAUGUGCCAGCAGCCGCGGUGACACAUAGGCUCCAAGCGUUGUCCGGAUUUAUUGGGCGUAAAGAGCUCGUAGGCGGUUGAGUAAGUCGGGUGUGAAAACUUUGGGCUUAACCCAAAGAUGCCACUCGAUACUGCUUUGACUUGAGUUCGGUAGGGGAGUGGGGAAUUCCUUGUGUAGCGGUGAAAUGCGCAGAUAUAAGGAGGAACACCGGUGGCGAAGGCGCCACUCUGGGCCGAUACUGACGCUGAGGAGCGAAAGCGUGGGGAGCAAACAGGAUUAGAUACCCUGGUAGUCCACGCGGUAAACGGUGGUCACUAGGUGUGGGUCUCUUCAAACG